AAUUUCUGAAUUAGGUAAACCGCCUGUUGGUUCCGGGCACUAGUACUAAAAUCACUUGCAUAGAGAGUGUCUGUCUUUGAUUAUCCCAUUCGACUUAAAGUGCAUGCGAAUAAAUAAAAACUGCCUUCAAUUGAUCCAUUAGAUCAAUGUGCAUGUGAAUACAAGUGUGACAUGUCCUUCUAGCAAAAUGUCCAUAAACUGUCAACAUUUACUCUCAACUGUGACAUGACUGAAUAUGAUGAACAAGUUGGGAUGUAGCUAGAUAUGUAAGAAAUGUUAUCUAUUUCUGUUUAUCUCCAUCUAUAGAAGUUGUGAUUGGCAUCGACUUUCUUCUUUGCCCUUUUCUGCAUGCUCAACACUUUACUUUUCUAUUACAACUUCUGUAAAUAGUCAAGAAAAUAAGCUUGCUUUGUUUUCCUUUGUCGAACCAACUGACUUGAUUUGUUUGCCAGCUAAAAGCUGCUGCUGAAGCUGUUGGGGAGGUCAAUCUUGAGAGUUUGCCAGCUAAAAGCUGUUGAAGUUUCUUGUUUCCCUUGCAUUUGUUAACUUACACAGGGCAUGAUUGCUCUAUUGUCUAUUGUCUAGAAAAACUGAUCGCCUACCUGGCUGGCAUCUGCAUCAUGCUUGCCAGAUUAUUUGUGUGGUCAAAUGAAACGGUGAGUGGUAUUAAAAUGCUCAUGUAGACAGUGUUUAAGCAUUAGAAUGGUGUAGAUAGAGUUUCCCGGCAACUACAGUGUCUGUGAUAUUCGAGAUCCAGCGUAAAUAAGUGUUCAUCAGAAAAGAAUGUGAUUAUUUUUAUUGUUCUGGAUCUAUGACUUCGGUUGCAUAUCUUGUCAAACUCUUUUAGAGUUAUCUUCAUGAGUGUCCACGUCCCAAUAUUAUGACUAUCUCUAAUGAGUAUAAAUAUAAAUUAAUAUAGCUGUCAAUUUUAAGACAGAGCAAAGUGUCAAUGCAUUUCACACCUAUUGAUUUAUCAGGCUCGGUCAGUCGGUCUGAUCCUGUAGUAUUUAAAACUAAUAAUUAUGAUGCAUUGGUCCAUAUGGCCUUGUUUUUUGAUGCAUAUAUAUAUAUAUAUGAUGUAGUUGAUAGGCCUUGAUCUCAACCUCUCAAGUUUAUGUUUCCUUGUGUGUAGGUAACUUGUUAUUUUUAUUGGCAAGCCUGUAAUGAAUUUAUUAGAUUUUUGCUCCUAUUGCCGUGUACAGUAUGUCACAGGCUUGCGGAGCCUAUCAUUGUUCUUAGUGUGAUGUUGUGAUUCUUGAACGGUGUCAAUGGUCGUGUACAGGUGUCUUUUGUAGUAUAAAAAGGGCCACUAUCAGCCGUAGGAUUUGGAUUCAUGCUAUGAAGAUCAUGAAUAUAUAUCUCAUUUUGCUGCUCUAUGCCUCAUUCUAAUUCUUCUCUGAUUCAUGUAACAGGAUGAUAGUGAAAGCCAUGUUGUUGUUUUGUUUGUUCCCAGCCUUGACUAUGGUCGUCGAGCGAGUCCGGCAUGUUGUUCAUUUAGUAGAGCUUGUUAGGAGUCUGAAUCUAAGAACUUGUAGAGCUUGUUAGUAUUACAAUUGUAGAGCUUGUUACACUUGUAGAGCUUGUAAAGCAGUAUGGUCUUCUGUAUUGGAAUGGAUAGAGCUUGUAUUAUGUGAUCUGGUUGCUCUUAUUUAAGUAUCAUGUGUGUUUUUGUCU
rnacentral:lncRNA from 1 species